rnacentral:ncRNA from 1 species
GGAACUCUGGAGAAGUCCGCACAAGGGUGUGCGGGUGCCGAAGGUGCAAGGCCGAAAGGCCGAAUCUCUCAGGCAAAAGGACAGAGGGAA